AUUGAACGCUGGCGGCAGGCCUAACACAUGCAAGUCGAGCGGGGUUUUCGGACCUAGCGGCGGACGGGCGAGUAAUGCGUAGGAAGCUGCCCGAUAGAGGGGGAUACCAGUUGGAAACGACUGUUAAUACCGCAUAAUGUCUACGGACCAAAGUGUGGGACCUUCGGGCCACAUGCUAUCGGAUGCGCCUACGUGGGAUUAGCUAGUUGGUGAGGUAAUGGCUCACCAAGGCGACGAUCUCUAGCUGGUUUGAGAGGAUGAUCAGCCACACUGGAACCGAGACACGGUCCAGACUCCUACGGGAGUCAGCAGUGGGGAAUAUUGGACAAUGGGCGCAAGCCUGAUCCAGCCAUGCCGCGUGUGUGAAGAAGGCCUUCGGGUUGUAAAGCACUUUCAGCGAGGAGGAAGGGGUGUGUGUUAAUAGUACACACCUUUGACGUUACUCGCAGAAGAAGCACCGGCUAACUCUGUGCCAGCCGCCGCGGUAACAC
rnacentral:rRNA from 1 species